rnacentral:lncRNA from 1 species
UUAUUUUUAUUUUUUAGUCAAAGUGAGUGACGUAUAUAAUUAGAAUUAAUCGAUCGCUUGAUUUAAAAUUUUUUUGUGUAUUUUAUUUUAAGUUAAAUUUUCAAAAUCUAUAUUUUUAUAAUUCAAAAUCAAUCAUUAUAAUGAUUAGAAAAUUAGAUUUGUUUAAUUUACCAACCAAAAAAUGACAUGUGACACUAUAUUAUUGGAUCUUCCUCUCUUAAAUUU